rnacentral:rRNA from 1 species
AUACGUAGGGGGCGAGCGUUGUCCGGAAUGAUUGGGCGUAAAGGGCGCGUAGGCGGCCUGUUAAGUCUGGAGGGAAAGUCCUGUUUUCAAGAUGGGAAUUGCUUUGGAUACUGAUGGGCUUGAGUGCAGGAGAGGUUAUCGGAAUUCCCGGUGUAGCGGUGAAAUGCGUAGAGAUCGGGAGGAACACCAGUGGCGAAGGCGGGUAACUGGACUGCAACUGACGCUGAGGCGCGAAAGUGUGGGGAGCAAACAGGAUUAGAUACCCUGGUAGUCCACACUGUAAACGAUGAAUGCUAGGUGUAAGAGGUAUCGACCCCUUUUGUGCCGGAGUUAACACAAUAAGCAUUCCGCCUGGGGAGUACGGCCGCAAGGUUGAAACUCAAAUGAAUUGACGGGG